UUGGUAUCAGAGCAUUGUUUAUAGUGAACUCAGUAUAUCGAACCACAUAAGAUAUACAAACUAUAAAUGCAUUGGGACUAGAGUCUCUGAUUUAAAGUUUUCAAAACAACUACACUUUUAGAAAUAAGUAGUUUCUUAUUAAAAGUAUACAUGCAUGCAUACAUACUAAGGUCAGCAUCAUUCUAGAACAAAACAAAAGUAAUGAUUGUUGGAUAUCACAGGUAAGCUCGGGGAUGUAUGGUCAGUCUUGGGAGUGGCAUAGCCUGAUCAACUAUGCUAGUCCGAGGAGUGAUUAGCACAUGCCCAAGAAUGGUUGUGAUAUGGCAACAAGUCUAAAAACUUACCAACACUACCACAAUAAAAUACCAUAGGGGUAUUUUGCGUUAUUAUAAUUACGUAUAUUAAAACUAAAUAGAUCCUUAAUAAUAGAUCCAUAGCCCCUAAGUGGAUACCCUAAGAUAUUAUAUAAUUUAGAAAUCAUAGACUUAGAAUUUGUGGUCAUUGCCUUACUUCCUUUUCCUUGUUUGGAUGUGGAUCUAGGGUAGGAUCACUAAUUCGAAGGUCUAUCAUAUCUUGUUAUAUGUAAUUAGUAUGAACUAUGUCAUUAUAGAAGUAACUAAUAAGGAUCACCCCUAUAAGUAAUUAAUUAUAGAGUUAGACGCCUAAUAAUUAUCUCUUCCACUCUUAUUCUCGCAAGUACAACAUAGCAAGAUCCUACUUACCGGAAGACUCCUACUUUCCCAAUCCGAACCCGAGAAGUGGUGAAUGGUUAUGAGGAGAAUCAAAAGCGGAACCGGAGGUAAUCAAUGCUCCAUGCAUAGCAAGGGUUUCCACGAACCGUUUCGGCUACAUCGAACCUGUGCCCCGUUGGGCAAUCGUGAUCGAGGGUUGAAUGUCGACAGCAAUGACAACAACCACCAUGUGGAGAUCAACGAGGGUGCUAUGACCUCAACCACGGGGGACCGACUGACAGAGCCCUCCCGGCGAAGACCCGGCAGAUCGCGAACAUCGGGGAUUAAAGCAGGUAGACUAUAACCCGAGUUCGGAAACUACACGCUACUACAGGCCCCACUGUCUCACGUACCCGAGACUCGGAAAUAGACUACUAUUUCGGAGACCAACUCUCUAUUUAGGACCUUAUCACCACUCAGGCAGAGGCAAGAGAGUAACAGGGUAGACACACAACAUUCAAAGAGAGGAGGAUUGCAGCCAAGCAUCGAUUUGCAAGGUGCAUCGACCUUGCCUCAUGCAUCGCAAGGGACUGAUCGUUGUAAGUAGAGUUCAUACCGCUCACAAGACCUUGUAAAUNNNNNNNNNNNNNNNNNNNNNNNNNNNNNNNNNNNNNNNNNNNNNNNNNNNNNNNNNNNNNNNNNNNNNNNNNNNNNNNNNNNNNNNNNNNNNNNNNNNNGUAGACUAUAACCCGAGUUCGGAAACUACACGCUACUACAGGCCCCACUGUCUCACGUACCCGAGACUCGGAAAUAGACUACUAUUUCGGAGACCAACUCUCUAUUUAGGACCUUAUCACCACUCAGGCAGAGGCAAGAGAGUAACAGGGUAGACACACAACAUUCAAAGAGAGGAGGAUUGCAGCCAAGCAUCGAUUUGCAAGGUGCAUCGACCUUGCCUCAUGCAUCGCAAGGGACUGAUCGUUGUAAGUAGAGUUCAUACCGCUCACAAGACCUUGUAAAUUAGGUUCGUGAGUAUGCGUUGGUACUACUCUAUUCUAGGCGUGAGCAUGACACUGUGAGUUAAGCGGUUAUGCUAAACAAGAGAUCUAGUUGCUAUUAAAACUUUUCCAUGCAUAGAUGUGAGGUAAACCUACAUCUAGUUCAAAAAUUUUCACCAAAACCCAAAUUACUACAGUCAUAUUAACAAGAUGGGCUUAGGACAUACCUAACAGACUCGAAGGACUACUUAGCCUUAAUUAUAUAACUAAGCAUACAUCAAUUGGUCAUAAUAAGGACCUAGCUUGGGUCAAGUAUAAGGGUUCACUUGGAUACAAAACUACUAAAAAUUCAUGGGUUUACCAUAUAAAGACUCCCGUUAAGAAUUGUUUUCAGAACGCCCUUAACGACCGAAUUACGUUACAAAUCGAUAUAAGAUAAAACUUAGUUAGAAACUCGUGACGUAUAGCCAUUCUAAAAACUCAUUAUCAUCUCACCCUUAAUCAUUUUGUUGAGAAGUUCCUUCUUCAUAGACUUAUGGGUGCGAUCAUACCAACACUAAUACACCGGGUCCCAUCAAAACUCCUCAGCCAAGCGUGUUUGGACACACAUGAUUCUAAGAUGAGUAAAGCUUAACGCCCGUAUGAAACCUACUCCAUUUCAAGAAUGUUAGCGGAAACGCUAGGAAUAGUACAGUAAUGUGCAAUAAUUUAUAUGCGUAAAUAUAAAUCGUAAGGAUGCACCUAAGAUAAUCAUUUCCCCUAACAAAGAUGUUUUUCAUCGUGAAACAGAGUUAUGUCUUCACUAAGAGGCAACCAACCAACUAGUAAGGCGCCAACUCUACAGAUACACGCUGCUACUUUUCAGGCUGCAGUCACGGCAACCAUGGUAGCCGUCAUGGCACAGUUCAAUGCUAACAACACCAGCAGAAAUGGAAGCGGUACUGACAAUACAGAUUGUGGUAACAAUCAGGAACACCAACAGGUGCCUGCCAGCAAAAAUACCUCGGGCCACAAACCUACGAGCAAGAAGAGAAAGUUUUGGAACAUGAAGGAGCGCCACCAAUCUCAAAGAUCCACUAAAAGACAACAACCUAUGGCCACCCCCACC
rnacentral:lncRNA from 1 species